GGACCUUCAGUGCCACAGAGCUCACGUGGUCCCAAGUAACUCUGCAUACGCAAAGUCCAUUCUGGUCUUCCUGGAGCUGUCCCACACUGGCAUCAUUCUCAGAAUGGACUCGCAGGAAAAGUCCAUUCUGGAGUCAGGGAAUUCCUGGCAGGGUGCGGAGGCUCACUCACUGAGAGAAGCCCAGAGCGCAUUCAGUAAGGAUGCUACACCCUGUCCUGUGAAGCUAUGAAGAACCAAGAAAUGUCACGCAAACAUUACACACAGGGUGGUUUCCAGGAAGGAGAAGGCCCUCCAACCAAGCACUGUCUGGCCAUGCCUGAGCUUUUGUGCAGCCUCUUCAGGCUGGAACAGUGUCUGCGCCAGGCCCAGACAUGGUGUGCACUCAGCAGGUGGAAGUUGUUAUCCCUGGCCACCAUCAGGGAGCUGAAGUCUUUAGUGACUUGAGGAGGGAGUCAUGGACACCUGCGUGAAGACCACAGCUCCAUCACUUCUUCUCAAACAAGCUCAGUUUGGUAUAGAAACAUAUAAAUGGAGCUGAAGAGAGGCCCUUCAAUAUUCGCUUCAUCCAGGGAGUCAGGAGACAUACGAGUGGAAGUGAGGUGGCGGGUACCAGCAGAUUUGGCCUUUUCUGAAAGAACUGUGCAGGCAUGGGAAAGAGUCCUAGCAGAUGCAAUAAUAAAUUAAUAAAGAGGAGGAAAUGGGAC
rnacentral:lncRNA from 10 species